CUUCACAGCACCCAUUGUUGUGUCUACUUAUAAGAUGCGUAUGGUUAUGUCCUCCCUCAACCAGGAAGUAGCCCGUCAGCGUACAAAAAGACAGAUCCUGAAAGGUCGUGGAGCACCAAGACGCGGCACGACUGAGCAGGCUUAUCGUGUCAGGUGACUGAUCUAAGAGGAGAGUUCAGAACAGGUGUCUGUCCUUAUCUGUGAUAUUCUCCAGGUAAGCAUGGGAGAGGACGGAGAGGAAGAUGACGUGGACAGAAUCAGCAGAAGAUGAUGGGAUUGAGAACAGGUGUGUAGUUUACGCACCUGACUGGGCUGGCUGCAGCAUCGCUCCGAGUGCGCCCCCGCCUCUCCUCUCUGCUGCAUGCUCCGCCUCCUGGCCUCCAUCUU